rnacentral:rRNA from 1 species
CCUACGGGAGGCAGCAGUGGGGAAUAUUGGGCAAUGGGCGCAAGCCUGACCCAGCAACGCCGCGUGAAGGAAGAAGGCUUUCGGGUUGUAAACUUCUUUUGUCAGGGACGAAGCAAGUGACGGUACCUUACGAAUAAGCCGCUGCUAACUACGUGCCAGCAGCCGCGGUAAUACGUAGGUGGCAAGCGUUAUCCGGAUUUACUGGGUGUAAAGGCGGUGUAGGCGGGACUGCAAGUCAGAUGUGAAAACCACGGGCUCAACCCGUGGACUGCAUUUGAAACUGUAGUGCUUGAGUGCUGGAGAGGUAGAUGGAAUUCCUAGUGUAGCGGUGAAAUGCGUAGAUAGUAGGAGGAACACCAGUGGCGAAGGCGGUCUGCUGGACAGCAACUGACGCUGAGGCGCGAAAGCGUGGGGAGCAAACAGGAUUAGAUACCCUUGUAGUC